rnacentral:rRNA from 1 species
AGUGAACGCUGGCGGUAGGCCUAACACAUGCAAGUCGAACGGCAGCACAGUAAGAGCUUGCUCUUACGGGUGGCGAGUGGCGGACGGGUGAGGAAUACAUCGGAAUCUACUUUUUCGUGGGGGAUAACGUAGGGAAACUUACGCUAAUACCGCAUACGACCUACGGGUGAAAGCAGGGGAUCUUUGGACCUUGCGCGAUUGAAUGAGCCGAUGUCGGAUUAGCUAGUUGGCGGGGUAAAGGCCCACCAAGGCGACGAUCCGUAGCUGGUCUGAGAGGAUGAUCAGCCACACUGGAACUGAGACACGGUCCAGACUCCUACGGGAGGCAGCAGUGGGGAAUAUUGGACAAUGGGCGCAAGCCUGAUCCAGCCAUACCGCGUGGGUGAAGAAGGCCUUCGGGUUGUAAAGCCCUUUUGUUGGGAAAGAAAAGAAGCAGGUUAAUACCCCGCUGUUCUGACGGUACCCAAAGAAUAAGCACCGGCUAACUUCGU